rnacentral:rRNA from 1 species
AUCUACGGCCAUACCACCCUGAACGCGCCCGAUCUUGUGUGAUCCUGGAAGCUAAGCAGGGUCGGGCCUGGUUAGUACUUGGAUGGGAGACUCCACUACUAUGGGAAACAGAGCCAACAUGAUG